UACGUAGGGUGCAAGCGUUGUCCGGAAUCAUUGGGCGUAAAGAGCUCGUAGGCGGCUUGGUAAGUCGGAUGUGAAACCUCCAGGCUCAACCUGGAGUCGCCAUCCGAUACUGCCAUAGCUAGAGUCCGGUAGGGGCCCACGGAACUCCUGGUGUAGCGGUGAAAUGCGCAGAUAUCAGGAAGAACACCGGUGGCGAAGGCGGUGGGCUGGGCCGGCACUGACGCUGAGGAGCGAAAGCGUGGGGAGCGAACAGG
rnacentral:rRNA from 1 species